GUCUGUGUGAAAGGCGGUACACAGUCUGGCCUGCUCACUGAGUUAUUAAAGAGCCGCAGUAAUUUGACUGUGCGAAGGUAGCAUAAUCAUUAGCUUUUUAAUUGGAAGCUGGCAUGAAAGGUCAUAUGAGAGAUAUACUGUCUUAACAGUAUAUAAGGAACUUAACUUUUAAGUGAAAAGGCUUAAAUAAAUUGAAGGGACGAUAAGACCCUAUAAAACUUAAUACAGGUAAGGCCUGAAGACAAAUUUCGAUUAAAGUCAACUAACUGUGUUUGUAUUAUGUUGGGGAGACGUGAAUAAAAUGAGUAACUGUUCAUUAAAUUUUAUAGUGAUAAUUAGGCUAUGAUCCUCCCUUGGGGAUUAGAAGAAUAAGUUACUUUAGGGAUAACAGCGUAAUUUUCUUUGAGAGUUCAUAUCGAUAGGAGUAGUUGCGACCUCGAUGUUGAAUUAAAAUUUUACUUAGGUUGUAGCCGCUUAAGUGGAAGGUCUGUUCGACCUUUAAAAUUUUACAUGAUUUGAGUUCAAACCGGUGUAAG
rnacentral:rRNA from 1 species